GAUGAACGCUAGCGGGAGGCCUAACACAUGCAAGCCGAGCGGUAUUGUUUCUUCGGAAAUGAGAGAGCGGCGUACGGGUGCGGAACACGUGUGCAACCUGCCUUUAUCUGGGGGAUAGCCUUUCGAAAGGAAGAUUAAUACUCCAUAAUAUAUUGGACGGCAUCGUUUAAUAUUGAAAGCUCCGGCGGAUAGAGAUGGGCACGCGCAAGAUUAGCUAGUUGGUGAGGUAACGGCUCACCAAGGCGAUGAUCUUUAGGGGGCCUGAGAGGGUGAUCCCCCACACUGGUAGUGAGACACGGACCAGACUCCUACGGGAGGCAGCAGUGAGGAAUAUUGGUCAAUGGGUGCAAGCCUGAACCAGCCAUCCCGCGUGAAGGACGACUGCCCUAUGGGUUGUAAACUUCUUUUGUAUAGGGAUAAACCUACCCUCGUGAGGGUAGCUGAAGGUACUAUACGAAUAAGCACCGGCUAACUCCGUGCCAGCAGCCGCGGUAAAAC
rnacentral:rRNA from 1 species